GCUGGGGGCCUGCCGGGGAGGGAAGAACGGCGGCAGCCCUUUCCCCGUUCCUCCCGUGCUCCGGGACCCCGAGCAGAGCUGCUCGUUUGUCCCCGUGUCCCUGUGUCUGUCCUCAGGCGGCCCCAGGAGCUGGCACUGACCGUGCCGCGGGUCGGGCACAGGCUGCUCCCAGCUCUGCCUGCGGAACUUCGGCAAUUACCGACAGCAGUUCUUUGCCCUGCCAUCCAGAAGGUGCGGCUCAUCUGACACCAGCCAGACGGGGAAGGCCUUGCCUGGGAGGGAAACGGCUACAGGGGAGGAAACCAAGAAAUGCUCCAACCGGAUGGUGCUGCGCGAGUCAAAAGAGGGGCAAGACCGCGGGCAAAUACAGUCAGGAAAUGAGCUUUUAUUCAAUCUCUGCAGGAGCCCUUCGCAGCCACGGGCCGGAGGGAGCGCGGCCGGCUGGGCUGUGCCCGGCUGGGGACGGGCACCAAUUCAUCGCUGCCCUGCUCAGGGAGGUUUUCCGGCCCCGUCCGGGCUUCACCCAACGGCUGCAAAGGUGCUCGUGCGGCAUCCGAGCUCAUUUCCAGGGAUAAAGGAGCCAAACGAGUCCGGAGGGAUCCCUCGCUCCGAGGCAAAGGCGUUUGGUCGAGUGUCGCCGCCUGGUCCCGCCUGCGGGGGAGCGUCUCCUCCAGGUGAGCCUUCGGAACCCAAAAUGCCGGGGGGGCUCAGGUCGGGGCCGCUUUUCGGGCCCGGAGUUGGACGGAGCCCUCGGCGGCUCCUGCUUCCCGCCAGGAACGUUCUCGGGGCUCCCUGGGCAGUCCCAGCUGGGCAGGGAACGCGGGCCGGGAGGAGGUCGGAGCGACAGACAGCGACCCAGCCCUGCUUGGGCUUCCUAUUGCCAGGGGAUGGAGGAGCUGUGCCCUGGAGCUGUGCCCUACAGCCCCCGUGGGGUGGGCACGGGGAAAGGGCUGCCCGCGGCUCCUCAGCCGGGCGCUGCUCUGAACGGGCCCCCUGAGAUGCCUCACCCUGGACACGCCCCAGCGCCAGCCCCAAAGGACCCAAAGAAUCCAGCUGGCACUCGGCAGUGUCGGCACGGCGGGGCUGCAGAGCAGCGCGGGCAGCCAUUCCCAGGGCCCACCUCCCAGAGCUCCCCCGCGCCCCCCACGUGUGUCCCGCCCGCCCCAAAUCCCUGCCCUUCCAGCCGGAGGCCAGCAGCCAGCAGCAGCCUUAAAGCCAGGGCCAUGUGCCCUCAGCGGCACUAAAUCCCGAGCAAGAGCCCUCGGAGAUGCCUGAAAAGAAAAGAGGGUGCUUGGAGAAAGUUGGGCUUGGAUGCAAUUCGCAGUUUUUCGGGGACCCAACCGCACCUGCAGAACCCGUGGACAGCUGGAACAGUUUCCCAGGGAGAAGAACAGGAACUCACAGCCACCAAGGCCUGACAGUCCCCUGCAGCCAGAGCUCAGCACACAGCCAGAGAGGCAAUUCCAGCAUCUAAAAGAAAAAAAAGAAGAAAAAAGUGAUUUAUUUUGUUUUCAAGUUAUUUUAAGUUGUUCCAAGCAAAGCAAGCCUUGCUCUGGUUUCAGUUGGGUGAACAGGGAGCGCUGGGCACAGGGCACGUCAUUAAUGCCCA